GAAGCUGUCCUGUGCCUCUCUUUCCAGGAGCCGCUUAAAUCCUCGAUUCUGGACUUCAUAAGUAUCUUCACCCAGUCAUUUCCGGUGCUAGUUAGGGCGAAGGGUGAUGAGGUAGACACCACCGCACGCCUGCUCACCCCUGUGUGGGACAAGAAGCUGGUGGCAUAGCAGAAGCAGAGUUCUGCAGACUUUUGCGUUCCUGGAGUACUAAAGCCCUCAGGUUACUGGUCAAGACUGCACUUCCUAGGGCUGCCAGGAGAUUGUCCUGAAAGUUAGGAAAGCAAUUUAAAGGCAGGGUGGAAUGACUAGGUUGAGACAACUCAGGAUCCGGGCACCAUGGUGAUAAAAAGAGUCUUAUAGUAGUAAUCCAUUUUUUACUCGCACUGCCUGGCAAGCUGCCUGGACUAUAGUUUCUUAUGUUUGUUUCUUGACUCUACAAAAGCAUGUCCAACCUGUGGUCCAAGAUAAACUGAAUGCUUAUCAACCAGAAAGAAAAAGAAAUAGAUUGGGGCUGGAGAGUUGGCUCAGUGGUUAAGAGCACUGACUGCUCUUCCAGAGGUCCUGAGUUCAAAUCCCAGAAACCACAUGGUAGGUUCACGACCAUCUGUAAUGAGAACUGAUACCCUCUUCUGGUGUGUCUGAAGACAGUGACAAUGUGGUUACAUAUAAUAAUGAAUA
rnacentral:lncRNA from 1 species